UACGUAGGGACCGAGCGUUGUCCGGAAUCAUUGGGCGUAAAGCGCGUGUAGGCGGCCCGGUAAGUCCGCUGUGAAAGUCGGGGGCUCAACCCUCGAAUGCCGGUGGAUACUGUCGGGCUAGAGUGCGGGAGAGGCGAGUGGAAUUCCUGGUGUAGCGGUGAAAUGCGCAGAUAUCAGGAGGAACACCAAUUGCGAAGGCAGCUCGCUGGAACGUAACUGACGCUGAGACGCGAAAGCGUGGGGAGCAAACAGG
rnacentral:rRNA from 1 species